GUGGGUUAUCCGGUGUUUGUAUUUUUUACAUUAUAACAGCGAGGUACCUAGGUACCACCAAAUGUGUUACAUUUAUGUGCCCAAACGUUUUACGGUCCUUUCUCCCAUAUCCUCUCAGAAAAUUUGAAAAAAAAAAAAUCGACGCCCUCAUCGGUUUUGGCAUACGGAAGCGUUACAAGUUCCCAUUUCUCGGCCGAACUGUUAUAUCUCUCUACCGUAGAAAUGGACAUUAACCCCUUGUUGUACUCCCAUUCGGUCCGAGUGUAUAGAAUACGCCACUUGAUG